AAAAUUCUUGCCCAAUCAAAAUCUACGGCAACAGAUUUAAAUGAUUCUUGGUAAGAGUAGUGGUAAGGAUAGCCAUGAAAUGAAAAUACCCAAAAACUGAGUUGAGAUUUUGGUAAGAUUUCUCAAUGAAAUACCCAAUCCAUCGCAAAUGUUCUUGAGGGUUAUUAUGAUUUGGAAGAAGGAAUAGAUAGUAAGAAGAGGGAGAGCGAUUCCAGUAGCAUU
rnacentral:misc_RNA from 1 species